GAUCCUGGCUCAGAACGAACGCUGGCGGCAGGCUUAACACAUGCAAGUCGAGCGAGACCUUCGGGUCUAGCGGCGGACGGGUGAGUAACGCGUGGGAACGUGCCCUUCUCUACGGAAUAGCCCCGGGAAACUGGGAGUAAUACCGUAUACGCCCUUUGGGGGAAAGAUUUAUCGGAGAAGGAUCGGCCCGCGUUGGAUUAGGUAGUUGGUGGGGUAAUGGCCCACCAAGCCGACGAUCCAUAGCUGGUUUGAGAGGAUGAUCAGCCACACUGGGACUGAGACACGGCCCAGACUCCUACGGGAGGCAGCAGUGGGGAAUCUUAGACAAUGGGGGCAACCCUGAUCUAGCCAUGCCGCGUGAGUGAUGAAGGCCUUAGGGUUGUAAAGCUCUUUCAGCUGGGAAGAUAAUGACGGUACCAGCAGAAGAAGCCCCGGCUAA
rnacentral:rRNA from 1 species